UACGAAGGGGGCUAGCGUUGUUCGGAUUUACUGGGCGUAAAGCGCACGUAGGCGGAUCUUUAAGUCAGAGGUGAAAUCCCAAGGCUCAACCUUGGAACUGCCUUUGAUACUGGGGAUCUCGAGUCCGGGAGAGGUGAGUGGAACUGCGAGUGUAGAGGUGAAAUUCGUAGAUAUUCGCAAGAACACCAGCGGCGAAGGCGGCUCACUGGCCCGGAACUGACGCUGAGGUGCGAAAGCGUGGGGAGCAAACAGG
rnacentral:rRNA from 1 species